rnacentral:rRNA from 2 species
UACGGAGGGUGCAAGCGUUAUCCGGAAUCAUUGGGUUUAAAGGGUCCGCAGGCGGAUUUAUAAGUCAGUGGUGAAAGCCCGUUGCUCAACAACGGAACUGCCAUUGAUACUGUAAGUCUUGAAUUCGGUCGAAGUGGGCGGAAUAUGACAUGUAGCGGUGAAAUGCUUAGAUAUGUCAUAGAACACCGAUAGCGAAGGCAGCUCACUAGGCCUGGAUUGACGCUCAGGGACGAAAGCGUGGGGAGCAAACAGG